rnacentral:rRNA from 1 species
AUUAACUUCGGUUAAUUUUAGUGGCGGACGGGUGAGUAACACGUGAGAAUUCGCCUUUAGGAGGGGGAUAACGGAUGGAAACAUUCGCUAAAACCCCAUAUGCCCCUGGGUGAAACAGAGGAGAUAAGUAAUACUGACUCUUACCUCUGCCUGAAGAGAAGCUCGCGGCUGAUUAGCUAGUUGGUAGGGUAAAGGCCUACCAAGGCGACGAUCAGUAGCUGGUCUGAGAGGACGAUCAGCCACACUGGAACUGAGACACGGUCCAGACUCCUACGGGAGGCAGCAGUGAGGAAUUUUCUGCAAUGGGCGAAAGCCUGACAGAGCAAUACCGCGUGAGGGAUGAAGACUUACUGAGUUGUAAACCUCGGUACCUUAAGGAAGAAGAUCUGACGGUACUUAAGGUGGAAAGCAUCGGCUAACUCCGUGCCAGCAGCCGCGGUAAGACGGGGGAUGCAAGUGUUAUCCGGAUUUACUGGGCGUAAAGCGUCUGCAGGUGGUUUUCUAAGUCUACUGUUAAAUCUUGAGGCUCAACCUCAAAUCUGCAGUAGAAACUAGAAGACUUGAGUAUAGUAGGGGUAGAGGGAAUUUCCAGUGGAGCGGUGAAAUGCGUAGAUAUUGGAAAGAACACCGAUGGCGAAGGCACUCUACUGGGCUAUUACUGACACUCAGAGACGAAAGCUAGGGGAGCAAAUGGGAUUAGAUACCCCAGUAGUCCUAGCCGUAAACGAUGGAUACUCGAUGUUGGACGUAUCAACCCGUUCAGUAUCUUAGCUAACGCGUUAAGUAUCCCGCCUGGGGAGUACGCUCGCAAGAGUGAAACUCAAAGGGAUUGACGGGGGCCCGCACAAGCGGUGGAGGAUGUGGUUUAAUUCGAUGCAACGCGAAGAACCUUACCAGGGUUUGCUAGAAGUGUUGGGUUUUCUGAAAAGAAUUUCCUUAUUCCGCUUCUACAGGUGGUGCAUGGCUGUCGUCAGCUCGUGUCGUGAGA